CCCUUAGAUGUUCUGGGCCGCACGCGUGCUACACUGAGUGGAUCAGCGGGUCAGGUUGCGCGAAAGCGUUUCCUAAUCUUUAAAUCCGCUCGUGAUGGGGAUUGACGGUUGCAAUUUUCUGUCAUGAACGAGGAAUACCUUGUAAGCGCGGGUCAUCAUCCCGCGCUGAAUACGUCCCUGCCCUUUGUACACACCGCCCGUCGCUCCUACCGAUUGAGUGGUCCGGUGAGGCUUUGGGAUCUAAGCGAAAAGAGCGUUUCGCUCCUUUUGCUGGGAGAACUCAGUCGAACCUUAUCAUUUAGAGGAAGGAGAAGUCGUAACA
rnacentral:rRNA from 1 species